AUCCUACCUUCAUGCAAAAUAAAGGCAAAAAUCAAGGGGUCAGAUAAAUUUUGCUUUAUCUGGUCAGUGACUAAAUAAAGCUUGGCGGACUACUUUUUGGAUUUUUUUUAAAACGACGCCAUCUUGUUUUUGAGAAUAACUGCUAAAAGACAUAUUUAUGCAAUUAUUUUCAUAAACGCGCUUUUAUUAGGUAUGUGAGACCAUCACAAAUGUAUAGUGUAUGCAUACCGUACUUGCAAUUACUACAAAAAGUUUUUAUAACGGAAACGCUCGGAGAAACGGGAAGUGACUCAUGUAUAGCGUUUUUUCAGAAUUUUAGCUUUCUACUCGUCAAUCUAGGAAUAUAUUGCAUCUGUAAUGGAGAGUUAUUGAACAAAAUCACCGAGGAAACGGUUUGCCUAUUCGUUUUGUCAAGCGGCGAUAUGGCGUUUAUAUAAGUCUCGUCAAUCGUUUGCUUGGUGAGGAUGGGCAAUCCGACAUUCAACUGAACUUCGGACAAAACUUCACUUGGCAGCAAAUUAAAAUUAUUCUUUAAUGUUCAGCAGAACAGAGAAGUCAGACACAAAGCAGAACAAGGUAUAAAACAUUGCUUUCGUGGGGAAGUUAUACGUCAACAUUCAAAGAAACAGACAAGUCAAAAGAUUUCCUGUGGCCAGAAGUUAUACAGACCAGAAAUUGUUAUGGAUGUAUGUGUGACCACUCAGACCACUCAGCCUAAAAGUAACUUAUGGGUGCUGCAGAUCAAUUAUGCCGACGUCAUGGAUUCUAGGGUGUGCAAAGCAACUGCUGAACUCAUUUUACAACCCGUACACAUCAUCACGCACUCCAAAGAUGCGAAAAAAAACUGCCGCGGUUUGAGGUUGUAGAGUCCGAGUUAGUCUGUUCGACGAAUCAAGUUCAGCCGAUAACAAUAGGUCACAUCCAGGACAGUCACUUUGUUCCACUUGUAAAAACUGUCUGAUGGAUGGGAUGGACAUUCUCGAUCUGAAGCUGCAGAUUUCCUUCACUCGAUAACCUAGCUUCGACUUUAUUGUGAUCUUCAUGGUUCUGUAUCAAGGUCUUUCUGCUUUGUCGGGGAUCAAUGUACAACUACAAGAAAAGGCAACCGAUGUGUAUGAUGCUUUUAAAAAGACAGGUUGACAACAUGAAAGAGAUGUACAAUGCCUUGCGAAAGAAAAUCAUCCAGAGCUUCCAUGACUGGUUUUGGCAGGCCAUAUCGCAUGACAGAAAGGGUCGGAACAACUCCAGAGAUGCCGAGAACGGCUGGUCGUCGGAAGAAUCGACCCAACGCCUUUGGUGAAAAGAAUGAAACGCUGUGUCUACAUAAGAUCGAAUCCAUCCUACUACAGGAACACCCACGCAAUACCUUUCAUAGAUCACAUUUUGGUAGAGUGGGACCUCCGGUAUUCUGGUAAGUAACGUGUAAAUCGUGGAGCAGAAAAAUGCAUGUAUCAUAUGUGCCAUAAUAUGUUCUGUAUACGUCUUGACCAUUUAAGUUAUA